GGUUGAUCCUGCCAGUAGUGAUAUGCUUGUCUCAAAGGCUAAGCCAUGCAAGUGUUAGUAUAAACUGACUUAUAUAGUGAAACUGCGAAUGGCUCAUUAAAUCAGUUAUAGUUUAUUUGAUGGAUACGUGCUUCGGUACACUACAUGGAUAACUGUAGUAACAUAGAGCUAAUACAUGCUAAAAGACCAGACUUUCGGGAAGGGUCCGCACUUAUUAGAUUACAAACCAAUACCACUCGUGGUUCCUUUGGUGAUUCAUAAUAACUGAACAAAUCGCAUGGCCUUGU
rnacentral:rRNA from 1 species